GUCUUUUAAAUGGAGACUAGUAUGAAUGGUCAUACGAGAUAUCAACUUUCUUUAUUUUAUUAUAAUGAAUUUUAUUUUUUUGUGAAAAAGCGAAAAUGAGUUUAUUAGACGAUAAGACCCUAUAAAACUUUAUUUUAGUAUUAAAAUAAAGUUUAUAGAUUUAAGUUUUAUUUUAUUUUAAUACUAAAAUUUUGUUGGGGAGACAAGUAAAUUUAAAGAACUUUACUUAUUUUUUUCAUUAGUUAAUGUUUAUUUUGAUCCAAUUUUUUUGAUUAAAAGAUUGAGUUACUUUAGGGAUAACAGCGUAAUCUUAUUGGAGAGUUCUUAUUGAUAAUAAGGUUUGCGACCUCCUGUUUGGAUUA
rnacentral:rRNA from 1 species